rnacentral:rRNA from 1 species
AACGAACGCUGGCGGCAUGCCUAACACAUGCAAGUCGAACGAAGGCUUCGGCCUUAGUGGCGCACGGGUGCGUAACGCGUGGGAAUCUGCCCUUUGGUUCGGAAUAACAGCUGGAAACGGCUGCUAAUACCGGAUGAUGACGAGAGUCCAAGAAUUAAUGGCAGAGGAUGGGGCCGCGGUGGAUUAGGUAGUUGGUGGGGUAAAGGCCUACCAAGCCGACGAUCCAUAGCUGGUCUGAGAGGAUGAUCAGCCACACUGGGACUGAGACACGGCCCAGACUCCUACGGGAGGCAGCAGUGGGGAAUAUUGGACAAUGGGCGCAAGCCUGAUCCAGCAAUGCCGCGUGAGUGAUGAAGGCCCUAGGGUUGUAAAGCUCUUUUACCCGGGAAGAUAAUGACUGUACCGGGAGAAUAAGCCCCGGCUAACUCCGUG